rnacentral:rRNA from 1 species
UCGGGAAUAUUGCGCAAUGGAGGAAACUCUGACGCAGUGACGCCGCGUAUAGGAAGAAGGUUUUCGGAUUGUAAACUAUUGUCGUUAGGGAAGAAAAGGACAGUACCUAAGGAGGAAGCCCCGGCUAACUAUGUGCCAGCAGCCGCGGUAAUACAUAGGGGGCAAGCGUUAUCCGGAAUUAUUGGGUGUAAAGGGUGCGUAGACGGGAGAGCAAGUUAGUUGUGAAACCCCUCGGCUUAACUGAGGACCUGCAACUAAAACUACUCAUCUUGAGUACUGGAGAGGAAAGUGGAAUUCCUAGUGUAGCGGUGAAAUGCGUAGAUAUUAGGAGGAACACCAGUGGCGAAGGCGACUUUCUGGACAGAAACUGACGUUGAGGCACGAAAGUGUGGGGAGCAAACAGG